AAGGUUGCCUUGCAGAAGAGAGAUAGAGAUUUCAUAGGAAAAAUCCAUUAAUACUUAAAUAUAGUGCAAUGGGAAAUAUCAUACUAUCUGUACCCAAAUCAGUUACAUAAUUUUAAAAGAAGCACUCAAAUAGUUUGAGCUCUUAUCUCCAGUCAGAAUCCUCUAUUUUCAGAGGCUAAAUAGCAACACUGGAAGAAGAAAAAGAAAAGGGAAAACAGGAACAACAGAGACCCAAAAUAACCCUUGCCGUCAGCAUCACAGAGAGUCCAAAGCUGGGUGAGUUUGUGAGGCCUUGAAGCACGAACCAGUGAUGAGGAAUCUCUCUUGCCCUGUUGCAGUCAGAACAGGGAAACCACAGACUGUGGACGUGCCAGUGCCUCAGAGAAACAAGAAGGUGCAAACCACCAUGAACUGAAAAACAGUCAAAUAUUUUGCAGUAACCUUGGCUUCUCCUGAGACCUCUUCUCCAUUUAGUAGCUGAGCCCCAUCCUAUUUAAUUACCAGAAUUUCACAUUAUCACAGCCUGAGGCUAUAGGGCUGCAAUGAAUCCUGGGAAACUUGUUUCAGUAAAUCUUAAUCCUAAAGCUGACCACAUCUUGGACCGGACCAAGUGCUGUCUGGCUAAU